GGUUUCUCUGUGUAGCCCUGGCUGUCCUGGAACUCACUCUGUAGCCCAGGCUGGCCUUGAACUCAGAUCCACCUGCCUCUGCCUCCUGAGUGCUGAGAUUACAGGCAUGUGCCACCACUGCCUG
rnacentral:miRNA from 14 species